AUUUAAAUAGUUUAUUAAAAAUGUUGAUUUGUGGAAUCAAUGAUAAGAUUAUUUCUUUUUAAAUU
rnacentral:tRNA from 1 species